rnacentral:rRNA from 1 species
AUUGAACGCUGGCGGCAGGCUUAACACAUGCAAGUCGAGCGGAGAUGAGGUGCUUGCACCUUAUCUUAGCGGCGGACGGGUGAGUAAUGCUUAGGAAUCUGCCUAUUAGUGGGGGACAACAUUCCGAAAGGAAUGCUAAUACCGCAUACGCCCUACGGGGGAAAGCAGGGGAUCUUCGGACCUUGCGCUAAUAGAUGAGCCUAAGUCGGAUUAGCUAGUUGGUGGGGUAAAGGCCUACCAAGGCGACGAUCUGUAGCGGGUCUGAGAGGUUGAACCGCCACACUGGGACUGAGACACGGCCCAGACUCCUACGGGAGGUAGCAGUGGGGAGUAUUGGACAAUGGGCGGAAGCCUGAUCCAGCCAUGCGGCGUGUGUGAAGAAGGCCUUUUGGUUGUAAAGCGCUUUAAGCGAGGAGGAGGCUACCUGGAUUAAUACUCUAGGAUAGUGGACGUUACUCGCAGAAUAAGCACCGGCUAACUCUGUGCCAGCAGCCGCGGUAAAAC